rnacentral:lncRNA from 1 species
CUGUCAUAAUAGCACUUACCUCCUAGGGUAUUGUGAGGAUCAAAUGAGACAAUAUGUGUAAAAGUGCUUAGCAUAAUAGUGCCUGGCACUUAAUAAAUGCUUGUCUCCUUCCUCUCAUCCUCUUCUCUAUCUCACUCUCUCUCCCCUUUCUGACUUUUCUUUCUCAGCCCAUUUUUCUCUCACUUUUUCUUCCCCCUUCCAGAGUCUGGAUAACCACUUGUCAGGAGCGCUAAGGAGAGGAUUCCUGGGGAGAAGGACAGAAUUGGUGGAUGUGGUUGCUGUUACCAUCAGUGAUGUUUGAAAUAUCAGAAAAUGGGAGAGGUGUCAGAAUAUGAGAAAGAAAAAUGUCCCUUUAAAAAAAAAGGAAGAGGAAGAUUCUUCAACUACAUGCCAUUCCAGGAAGGAGAAGGGAAGAAAGGAGGGAGAGACAAUAUGGAUUACAUAACUUCAGAAAACUUAUGUGGAAAACUUGUUAUGAAAAUAAAAAAAAUUUAAAGUAAGAUUUAUUUUCAUAUGAACUGUCAUCUAGUUAAGUCUCUCCUACCUUGUAUUUAUAAAGUUAAUUUUUAAUUAAAAUUUUUUUCUCCUUUUAUCAUGAGCUUAACAAAUAUAAAGCUUUCUAAAGAAGAACAAAAAGAAAAGGAUUACAUAUGAAAAAGGAGAAUCUGUCAGCAAGUAGCUUUUUCAGAAAAAAUUGUGUGGGUAUUGUUCUGACCUCUUUGCAGAACAAGGCCAUCUACAUCUUUCCCUCAGGACUCUAGGAUGCCAAUAAUGGAGUUAAGGGUUGACUUUCUCUAAUGCUAUCAUCAAAAUCCCUUUCAGCUGUAUUAACCCUACCAAACUGACAAUGGGUAGCCCUCUAGUUUCAUUUAACUAAUUAACAUUGAUUAGUUCUUACAAAGUAAUAUUUACUUAAAAGAUAUAGCAAGUACAAGAGUAUCAGCAUUUCUCUUCUCUACCAGUUAGGGAGUUUGCUCUCCCCAAUAACAUCUUGAUGCCUGAGAAGGGUGGGCUCAGUUCAAAUCUCUACAU